UACGUAGGGUGCAAGCGUUAUCCGGAAUUAUUGGGCGUAAAGAGCUCGUAGGCGGUUUGUCGCGUCUGCCGUGAAAGUCCGGGGCUCAACUCCGGGAUCUGCGGUGGGUACGGGGCAGACUAGAGUGAUGUAGGGGGAGACUGGAAUUCCUGGUGUAGCGGUGAAAUGCGCAGAUAUCAGGAGGAACACCGAUGGCGAAGGCAGGUCUCUGGGCAUUAACUGACGC
rnacentral:rRNA from 1 species